rnacentral:lncRNA from 1 species
UUUGUUUUAAAACUAUUGGGAUAAUUGGGCCCGGUGUUCGGCAUCACGUUGAUUGAUUUAUGUGCACUUGUAACUAAAUGUUUCCUGUCUGUCAGGGGGACGUUGGUCCAGUCGGCCCUACAGGGCCCCAGGGAAUAAAGGGGGAACAAGGAGACAAAGGAGAUAAGGGCAGUCCCGGUUUUGGGAUACCAGGACAGCGGGGACCAAAGGGUGAAAAUGGCGAGCGGGUGAGGCACCAUUUAACACUGAAAAUGUGUUGUCUGAUAUCACAUUUGAUUUAUUGA